rnacentral:rRNA from 1 species
UACAGAGGGGGCAAGCGUUGUUCGGAAUUACUGGGCGUAAAGGGCGCGUAGGUGGCCUUCUAAGUUGAACGUGAAAUCCCUGGGCUCAACCCAGGAACUGCGUCCAAGACUGGGAGGCUUGAAUCCGGGAGAGGGAUGUGGAAUUCCAGGUGUAGCGGUGAAAUGCGUAGAUAUCUGGAGGAACACCGGUGGCGAAGGCGGCAUCCUGGACCGGCAUUGACGCUGAGGCGCGAAAGCCAGGGGAGCAAACGGG